AAAUUGAAGAGUUUGAUCAUGGCUCAGAUUGAACGCUGGCGGCAGGCUUAACACAUGCAAGUCGAACGGUAGCAGGAAGAGGCUUGCUUCUUUGCUGACGAGUGGCGGACGGGUGAGUAAUGCUUGGGAAUCUGGCUUAUGGAGGGGGAUAACUACGGGAAACUGUAGCUAAUACCGCGUAGUAUCGAGAGAUGAAAGACUGGGACCGCAAGGCCAGUUGCCAUGAGAUGAGCCCAAGUGGGAUUAGGUAGUUGGUGGGGUAAAGGCCUACCAAGCCGACGAUCUCUAGCUGGUCUGAGAGGAUGACCAGCCACACUGGAACUGAGACACGGUCCAGACUCCUACGGGAGGCAGCAGUGGGGAAUAUUGCACAAUGGGGGGAACCCUGAUGCAGCCAUGCCGCGUGAAUGAAGAAGGCCUUCGGGUUGUAAAGUUCUUUCGGUGAUGAGGAAGGGUGGUGUUUUAAUAGAGCACUACAUUGACGUUAGUCACAGAAGAAGCACCGGCUAACUCCGUGCCAGCAGCCGCGGUAAUACGGAGGGUGCGAGCGU
rnacentral:rRNA from 1 species